AAACGACUCUCGGCAACGGAUAUCUCGGCUCACGCAUCGAUGAAGAACGUAGCAAAAUGCGAUACUUGGUGUGAAUUGCAGAAUCCCGUGAACCAUCGAGUUUUUGAACGCAAGUUGCGCCCGAAGCCAUUCGGNCGAGGGCACGUCUGCCUGGGCGUCACGCA
rnacentral:rRNA from 3 species